GAAUAUUGUGCCUUUACGUUUACCCUGUAGAUCCGAAUUUGUGUAUGAAACAAUCUACAAAUUCGUUUUUGCGGGUGAUUGUGUCGAGGUUUUCAAAAUCA
rnacentral:pre_miRNA from 1 species